AUUGAACGCUGGCGGCAGGCCUAACACAUGCAAGUCGAACGGUAGCACAGAGAGCUUGCUCUUGGGUGACGAGUGGCGGACGGGUGAGUAAUGUCUGGGAAACUGCCCGAUGGAGGGGGAUAACUACUGGAAACGGUAGCUAAUACCGCAUAACGUCUUCGGACCAAAGUGGGGGACCUUCGGGCCUCACACCAUCGGAUGUGCCCAGAUGGGAUUAGCUAGUAGGUGGGGUAAAGGCUCACCUAGGCGACGAUCCCUAGCUGGUCUGAGAGGAUGACCAGCCACACUGGAACUGAGACACGGCCCAGACUCCUACGGGAGGCAGCAGUGGGGAAUAUUGCACAAUGGGCGCAAGCCUGAUGCAGCCAUGCCGCGUGUAUGAAGAAGGCCUUCGGGUUGUAAAGUACUUUCAGCGGGGAGGAAGGCGUUAAGGUUAAUAACCUUGGCGAUUGACGUUACCCGCAGAAGAAGCACCGGCUAACUCCGUGCCAGCAGCCGCGGUAA
rnacentral:rRNA from 1 species